AGAGUUUGAUCCUGGCUCAGGACGAACGCUGGCGGUGCGCUUUAUGCAUGCAAGUCGAGCGAAGCUUUUCAGUAGUUUACUACAGAAAAUGACUGAGCGGCGAACGGGUGAGUAACGCGUGAGCAAUCUACCUUAGUUACAGGGAUAGCCCGAGGAAACUCGGAUUAAUACCUGAUAUUCUUUAUUUCUCGCAUGAGAAUAAAAGGAAAGGUCAGCCGAACUAAGAUGAGCUCGCGUUCUAUCAGCUAGUUGGUGAGGUAAAAGCUCACCAAGGCUACGACGGAUAGCUGGUCUGAGAGGACGAUCAGCCACACUGGGACUGAGACACGGCCCAGACUCCUACGGGAGGCUGCAGCAGGGAAUAUUGUGCAAUGAACGAAAGUUUGACACAGCGACACCGCGUGUGGGAUGACGGAUCUAGGUUUGUAAACCACUUUCAGGAGGGAAGAAAAUGACGGUACCUCCAUAAGAAGCCCCGGCCAACUACGUGCCAGCAGCCGCGGUAAUACGUAGGGGGCGAGCGUUGUCCGGAUUUAUUGGGCGUAAAGAGCUCGUAGGCGGUUCAACAAGUCGGUCGUGAAAGUUCAGGGCUCAACCCUGAAAUGUCGAUCGAUACUGUUGUGACUAGGAUACGGUAGAGGUGAGUGGAAUUCCGAGUGUAGCGGUGAAAUGCGUAGAUAUUCGGAGGAACACCAAUUGCGAAGGCAGCUCACUGGGCCGCUAUCGACGCUGAGGAGCGAAAGCUAGGGGAGCAAACAGGAUUAGAUACCCUGGUAGUCCUAGCUGUAAACGAUGGAUACUAGACGUAGGAACUGGAUUGACGGUUUCUGUGUCGCAGCUAACGCGUUAAGUAUCCCGCCUGGGGAGUACGGUCGCAAGACUAAAACUCAAAGGAAUUGACGG
rnacentral:rRNA from 1 species